GACGAACGCUGGCGGCGUGCUUAACACAUGCAAGUCGAACGGAAAGGCCCUGCUUUUGUGGGGUGCUCGAGUGGCGAACGGGUGAGUAACCCGUGAGUAACCUGCCCUUGACUUUGGGAUAACUUCAGGAAACUGGGGCUAAUACCGGCUAGGAGCUCCUGCUGCUUGGUGGGGGUUGGAAAGUUUCGGCGGUUGGGGAUGGACUGGCGGCUUAUCAGCUUGUUGGUGGGGUAGUGGCUUACCAAGGCUUUGACGGGUAGCCGGCCUGAGAGGGUGACCGGCCACAUUGGGACUGAGAUACGGCCCAGACUCCUACGGGAGGCAGCAGUGGGGAAUAUUGCACAAUGGGGGGAAGCCUGAUGCAGCAACGCCGCGUGCGGGAUGACGGCCUUCGGGUUGUAAACCGCUUUCGCCUGUGACGAAGCGUGAGUGACGGUAAUGGGUAAAGAAGCACCGGCUAACUACGUG
rnacentral:rRNA from 1 species